UGCCGCGUGAAGGAAGACGGCCUUAUGGGUUGUAAACUUCUUUUAUACAGGAAGAAACCUUUCCACGUGUGGAAAGUUGACGGUACUGUAAGAAUAAGGAUCGGCUAACUCCGUGCCAGCAGCCGCGGUAAUACGGAGGAUCCAAGCGUUAUCCGGAAUUAUUGGGUUUAAAGGGUCCGCAGGCUGUUUGUUAAGUCAGAGGUGAAAUCCUACCGCUCAACGGUAGAACUGCCUUUGAUACUGGCAAACUUGAGUUAUUGUGAAGUAGUUAGAAUGUGUAGUGUAGCGGUGAAAUGCAUAGAUAUUACACAGAAUACCGAUUGCGAAAGCAGAUUACUAACAAUAUACUGACGCUGAGGGACGAAAGCGUGGGUAGCGAACAGGAUUAGAUACCCUGGUAGUCCACGCCGUAAACGAUGGUCACUAGCUGUUCGACGUACAUUGGUACGUUGAGUGGCUAAGCGAAAGUGAUAAGUGACCCACCUGGGGAGUACGCUCGCAAGAGUGAAACUCAAAGGAAUUGACGGGGGCCCGCACAAGCGGUGGAGCAUGUGGUUUAAUUCGAUGAUACGCGAGGAACCUUACCAGGACUUAAAUGUAAGUUGCAUGAUUCAGAAAUGAGUCUUUCUUCGGACUACUUACAAGGUGCUGCAUGGUUGUCGUCAGCUCGUGCCGUGAGGUGUCAGGUUAAGUCCUAUAACGAGCGCAACCCCUAUCGUUAGUUGCCAUCAAGUAAAGUUGGGAACUCUAGCGAAACUGCCGGUGCAAACCGUGAGGAAGGUGGGGAUGACGUCAAAUCAUCACGGCCCUUACGUUCUGGGCUACACACGUGCUACAAUGGUCGGUACAGAAAGCAGCCACUAUGCGAAUAGGAGCUAAUCUUUAAAACCGAUCUCAGUUCGGAUCGCAGUCUGCAACUCGACUGCGUGAAGCUGGAAUCGCUAGUAAUCGGAUAUCAGCCAUGAUCCGGUGAAUACGUUCCCGGGCCUUGUACACACCGCCCGUCAAGCCAUGGAAGCUGGGGGUACCUAAAGUCGGUGACCGAAAGGAGCUGCCUAGGGUAAAACUAGUAACUGGGGCUAAGUCGUAACAAGGUAGCCGUACCGGAAGGUGCGGCUGGAAUACCUCCUUUCU
rnacentral:rRNA from 1 species